UACGGAGGAUGCAAGCGUUAUCCGGAAUGAUUGGGCGUAAAGGGUCCGCAGGUGGCAUUGUAAGUCUGCUGUUAAAGAGUCUGGCUCAACCAGAUAAAAGCAGUGGAAACUACAAAGCUAGAGUAUGGUCGGGGCAGAGGGAAUUCCUGGUGUAGCGGUGAAAUGCGUAGAUAUCAGGAAGAACACCGGUGGCGAAGGCGGCCUGCUGGGCAGUUGCUGACACUGAGGGACGAAAGCUAGGGGAGCGAAUGGG
rnacentral:rRNA from 1 species